rnacentral:rRNA from 1 species
UACGAACUGUGCAAACGUUAUUCGGAAUCACUGGGCUUACAGGGUGCGUAGGCGGCUUGCUAAGUAGGGUGUGAAAGCCCCCGGCUUAACCGGGGAAUGGCGCCCUAAACUGGCGAGCUGGAGUGAGAUAGGGGUGUGCGGAACUUCCGGUGGAGCGGUGAAAUGCGUUGAUAUCGGAAGGAACGCCGGUGGCGAAAGCGGCACACUGGAUCUAAACUGACGCUGAGGCACGAAAGCCAGGGGAGCGAACGGG